rnacentral:lncRNA from 1 species
UGCAAACUGUAUUCUCACCUCCUUUGAAAACAUCAGUCCCUGUUUCCAUGGUCCCACUCUUCUCUCAACGAGAAUCUGAGCAUGCAGGAGAUCAAUCUCUUCUUCCCCUGUGGAAACUGGACAGUGCAGAGGAAAUUCCCAGGAGAAAUAACAGGGCUGUGAAUACCUGUGUGUGCUGGUUGGACAGCAAACAUCUGCAGUGUAUCCUGCGUGGCGGGAGCAGGAGGAUGGAUGGGUUGCCUGGUCCCUUGCCAGGAAUUAAUGCUGCCCCAGGCGUAAAAGAGGAACAGAGGUUUGAUCUUUGCCCCAGCAGUGGCAUUCACCUCCACAUCUUGGACUUCUGGGCAUCACCUCCAUGUCUCUUUCCUUGCCUGGAACAUGUUUCAACAGCAGACCUGGAGAUGCCAGGGAAAGGGUUGGAGCUGCCAGCCCCACACCAAGCAGAGGGACAAGGAGGUGACAGCUGCUCAGUGCCUGUGCUGGCUCACAAGUGACUCAGAAUUUGAUCAAUACUGCUGGUGGCUGUUGGUGCAGCAACUGAUGGGGAGCUGGAGGAGAAUUAUUCUGCUGAAAGCCUCGAGAAAAAUCAGUCAGAGAAGGCUGUGCCGCCAGAGCCCCAUCCCGUCACGCUCAGACAAAAUCCUCAGAAAUCCCACCUUAAAAACCACACUGGAAACACCAGGAGGAAAGUAUCAAGACAAGCAGUCCUUGGGAAUGUAUGGAAUUGACACAGAAGUCAUGGAGCAACUGAGCAGUGACAGGACUGGAAAGGAAAUGGAUUUUGCCAACAACUGGAAGUUCUCAGUGCCCUCGUGCCAUGGAAGUUCUGCAUCCUGUUCUGCCUGGAAGUGCCAGCCAUGAGGCAGCGCUGGGGUUUUUACUGGAA